UCAACUUGCCCUCUGCAUAUGUAUUUAUAAAUCGCAUCCAUCAACUCGAAAUAAUAGUGUGUAUGCUGCUUGGAGUGGGCGGUGUGUUUAGAUGGAGAGCUAACAAGUGCCCUGUCAUCCUCUGCAAUGCCACCAAACAACUGUCAAAAUAACAGUAUUGCUCAGCCUGGGACGUCCAAAGGCAAGUUCUUGUUUUGUGAAAAGGGGAACUACAACAAAAAGAAAACAAGCUAUGGCGUUCACCUGUUCCAAGCUGCGCCCAUCCUGUUUAUUAUUUGCAGAGUGCUCGUGUUAUUUCAGCCAUGUUGUCCUUUUGAAUGUGCUGCUGCAGUGAUGCUGUGGCCAUCAAAAUCCUUGCCAUUGCUUCGGGACUGAUAAUGUCCCAGGAAUGGGCUUCCUGGCUGUUGCUGGUGACAUAUAUCUAGGAGAUGAAGAGCCUCCUGAUUAGCGAAAAUACAUGGAGUUUAUGUAGAUGCAUAGAGGAAUGUUUGGAAGAAUAUUCACCAACUUGUUAAGUAUGAUAGUCUCUGGUCAGUUGGAUUUCUGAUUUCCUUUUCUUCUGUUAACCAGUGAUGAACUCCCACUCAUCCAUCAAGCCCCAGAAUGUUUGCUCCAUGAAGACAGAGGUCUUAGUCUUGUUCCCAGAUGUAUCUUCAGUGCCCAGAACAGUGCUUGGCAAAAGCACUCAACAAACAGCUGAGUGGAAACUCAGAGAGAAGCAAAUAACAGUAACCAGGAACUUCAGUGGAGCAUGGGUAUCCUCUAUUGCUAUUACCAACUCUGGAAGAUUGGGGCAGAUGAGGAAGCUGGGGUCCAGGGCCCAGAGAUCAACUUGAAUCAAAGUGGAUUGAGGAUGCUCCAGUCAGAAUUAUGGAAAUCAGGCCCACAUCUCCCUGACUGCCAAUAUAGCUCUGACUUUUACCCUUAUUCAGAUAUGUUCUCAUGCCUGAGGCACUGUGCCCGCCGUGGAGCACCAUUCUGGGUAUCCUGGGAGCAAAUCACCAUCAGCCACUCCUCUAAACUCCUGGAUGUUGUUCUGAGACAUCUCACCGUGACAGCACCUGCGACACAGGAGAAUGCAAGCGGGGGAGGCGCAGAGAGAAGGGUACAGAGGAUCCGAAGCAGGCUGUGCACUGACAGGCUGACAGCAGUGAGCCUGAUGUGGGAAUCGAACCCACCAACUGCAAGAUCAUGACGUGAGCCGAAGUUGGACGCUCCGACUGAGCCACCCAGGAGAAUACAGAAGUCCGCGGAAGCCAUCGUGGUCAUUGCAUAACACGUGGAAAUCAAACCAUCGUGCUGGACACCUUAAACUUAGGCAGUGACAUCAGUCAAUUAUUUCACAAUAAACCUGGAGAAAAAAUAUAAACACAAAGAUGUUCUUUGCAACGUUAUCUGAGUAAAAAAAGAAGAAAAAAACCUUCAAAUUAAUGACCAACAGGAGCGAAAUGGUGAAAUGAUUGUGGUAUAACAACCGGAUGAAAUAUGAGGCCGACACUGUCAUAGGAUGUAACAACACCGGCUGGGGGACAAAGGGCUGCUCGCAAGGAUGCACGUGACCUGAGGCUGCAAGCACAUACCCAUGACUGCAAAUGGAAGCGUGCCGGCAAGGGCCAUGAAAAAGGGAAAGUUUUAUGAAGAAGGGACAUGGUGAAUAUUUUCUGUAGUUUGAAUUCCCCUCAGUCUUCUCCUUUUUUUUUCUUUAACUUUCAUUUAUUUUAUUUAUUUUGAGACAGAAUGAGCAUGUGUGCAUGUGCAGGAAUGUAGGAGGGGCAGAGGGAGAGGGAGAGAGAAAAUCCCAAGCAGGCUCCAUGUUCAGCAUGGAGUCUGACAUGGGGCUUGACCCCAUGACCGUGACAUCAUGACCUGAGCAGAAACCAAGAGUCGGCGCUCAACCGACUGACCCACCCAGACACCCCUCCCCCAUGUCUUGGUUCUAAUGACUCUUUAACCAUAACUUAAUCUGGUUCUAACAAGGCAUUAUCGAGGCAUUAGUGAGGACCCACGGGAUACCUAGCAAUAUGCUAACAGAUACUUCAGAAUGCCCCAUUAUUUAAUUUUUUUAAGUGUAUUUGUUUAUUUUUGAGAAGCGGGGGACAGAGAGAGAGGAAGAGAGAGGACCCCAAGCAGGCUCUGCACUAUCAGCACAGAGCCUGACACAGGGCUCAAACCCACGAACCGUGAGAUCGUGACCUGAGCUGAAAUCAAGAGUCGGAUGCCCAACCAACUGAGCCACCCAGGCACCCCCUCCCCAGUCUUGUUCUGAUGAAUCUUUAACCAUCGCUUAAUCUGGUUCAAACAAGGCAUUAUUGAACACCCACAGGACACCUAGUGACAUGCUAACAGAUACUUCAGAAUGCCCCUUUACAGACCACUGGCCUUCUUGUCCAGGAGAUGCAGUCCGCCUCUCACACAAGCAAGAGCACUGCUCCCGGGGCAAGAAGAUCGGAAGACUCUGAGUCUCCAACAGCAAUAUGUGUCCACAUUAGUUACCUAUGGCUACUUUGAGUGCCAUAAACUCAGUGGCUUUACCAGUGGAAAUUUAUUCUCUGAUAGUUCUGGUGGGUAGAAAGCUAAAAUCCAGGUGUGAGAAGGACCAGGACUCUCUGGACUCUGGGUAGAAUCCUUCCUUGUCUCUUCCCAUAUUCUGGAGGCAGCCAGCAACCCUCGGUGCUCCUUGGCUUGCAUCUUCCUCACUCCAAUCCCUGCCUCUGUCCUCACAUGGCGACAUUCUCUUUGUAUCUUCACAUUAUCUUCUUGUAAGGACACCAGUCAUAUUGCAUUAAGGGUCCACUCUAAUGCAGUAGGACUUUAUCUAAACUUGACCGAUUGCAUCCACAACGACCCUAUUUUCAAAUAAGGUCACAUUCUGUAAGGUGCUGGGAGUAAGGACUUCAACACACGUUUUGGGGGGACAUAGUCCAGUAGUGUCUAAGCCCAUCAACUUCCAAAUCUGACUUACCAAUCUCCAAAACACCCAGAUGCUUAUGAGCCUUAUUCCUGUGAUCCUCUCAAUUUCUCCAAUGUAUGAGAUAGGUAGGAAGUAGGGCAAUAAAACUUAAAUGUCAUGGUAGUCAUUUGGGGGUCACCAUAUUGCACCCAACCAUAAACACUUCUUGCUCGAAUUGCCUUGGAUGGGAGAUCUGAGAAUUGACUUAAGUAAUGACCUCAAGGAAGGUUUCCAAAAAAGCUAUCUGACUCCAUCAGGGGUCGAGAGCUAUUGAGGCCAUAGUGUGGGGCAAUCACAAUGUGGUCUAGCAUCAGCAGAGGGAGAAGCAAAGUGGGGGGGCACAGCCAGCUUUGGAAAGCCUGGAGGUGUUCAGCAGAAAUAGAGAAUUAUUUGUGGAUGACUUAAAUAAAUAUUAGAGACAAUUCAAAAUGUUCCAGAUAAGAUUUACAAGGCUUCUAGGAGAUUCUUGAGCUCUGAUGGAAAUAAAGCAUACAUCAUAAUCCGUGUAGUUUCACUGAUAAGAUCAAACACAAACACUACUGCAUGCCCUCCUGACUUGUCCUCAACCAACCUCUCCAGCCUCACAUUUUACUCAAACCUAGGUGCUAGCUUAUCUCCUAAACAGACCUAUGACUUAGCACAUCCAUCGCUCUGUACACGUGCUCCUUCCUAGUGGGAUGCCUUUCUGGUUUCUAUGGCAGGAAAAGGGUACUGCGGGAGCCUUGAGAGUCUGUGACCCCAGCUCAAAUGCCAAUCUAAAAGCCCCCCACUACACCUGACUAUGAUCACUUUCUAUGUUUUCUCCAUUCAUUUAUUAUGUCCAUUCAGCAUUCAGUCUGCAUCGAUUAUUUGUUUAUGUUUGUUUAUUUUAUUUUGCCACGCCCCCUCUGAAAGCUCUGGGUAAGAAUUGCUUCCUUUCUCUUCCUAGCUUGGUGGCUACAGGCAAUGCUUGGCAUUCUUUGACCUAUAGCUGCAUCACUCCAAUCUCUGCCUUUGAUGUCCGUGGCUUUGUCUUCUUCCCUUUCUGUAUGUCUCCAUGUCCGUGUGUCUCUGUGUCCAGUCUCCCUCUCCUUUCUUUCUCUUAUAAAGAUACCAGGCACUGAGUUGGGGGCUACCCUAAUUCAGUAUGAUUUCAUCAUAGCUUCUUUUUUUUUUUUUUUAAACUGGGGUAUAACUGACACACUAUUGAAUAUUUACUGACUGCUGACAAUGUGCCAGGGACUGUGUGUAACAUAUGAGGGAUGGAUGGAUGGAUGGAUGGAUGGAUGGAUGGAUGGAUGGAUUAUGCUGUGAGCUCUCAGGCAGGAGAAGAGUUUGGACUUGUGGAUAAAGAGUUGGAGGUUGUAGAACUGGAGAAAUCUUUGGAAUUGAAAUGAGGGAUGAUUACAGACACCACACCCAUCCCACGAGAGGGGGUUAUCUGGGAGCCCCGUGUCAAGACGGUAGUAUGGCUCUUUGUUCCCAGGCCAGCCUUUCCCCUCCACGUGGGCUGCUGUAGCCUUGAUAUGAGACGUACAUUUGAAUGGGAGUUCUCACACCUCGAUGGGGAGUCUGGGAACAGAAGGCAUUCAUGGGCCCAGCCUGUCCCCAUCUGUGGCAGUAGCCAAACCAGGUGGCCUGAAGAGGAACACAAAACCUCUGAGAGAAGCCUCCCCCUCCUCCCAUGGGAAGCCCUGAAUAUUCUUUCCUGAAGGAUACAGAAGCACCCAGUGCUUUGCCUUGGACAUCUAGGAAGUGGCCCUUCUUGACUGAGGAGGAAGGUUCCAUUUCCUGAGCCUGGUUCUACAGUGGAGAAAUACGCCAGCUUCAGAGGCACCAGGGAAAGUUACUCAUCCCUGGUCCUUGUCAGGCCCCUCUUGUGCUUCUGUUAGAUGAGAACUUUUAUUUCCUCCUCGCUCCUCUAUUUUUGAUAGCAUAUACUUCCUCUAUUUGCUGUCCCAAAGGUCCGAGCCACCCACUACAUAUCACUUCCAUAAGAGAAAUAAGCAGAGGUAAAUGAACCACUUCUUCCUCUGUUCUCCCUCAGGGUUCUGCCCUUCCCUCCACCCCUGCAAAGGCCACAGUGUAUGGGAUUGCUGGUCUCCCAGGUUAUCUUCCCCCUUGGACCAUCAGCUUCCCAGUGCGGGGACCCUGCCUGCUUCAUCUCUGUCCCCUGAGCAGAGUCUGGUGCUUAGUACAUAUAAGUAUUCACUGUAUGGAUAGAAUAAAAUGAAAGUUGGUUAAGCCUGUGUAUUUUGAUACUUAUCUUGAUUUCUCAUGUCAAGUCUCUCUGGGUGAAUUGAAAAGGGAAAAGUAUGUGUCACAGUCUGUUGCUGUUCUCCUCAAGCUGCAGAAUUUACUAUUUCCAGGCCUGUGUUUAGAUGAGUAAACUGUUGCACAGUGAACGAAUGAAUGGAUGGAUGGAUGAAUCACAAAAAGGCAGGACUGGAACAUCUCUCAGAGAUCAGCUCAACCGAUCCUCAAUGACCAGAUGAGCCCCGAGACCCUGACCUGAGUCUGCCAGUUUGUCAAGAAGAAAAUGCAAGUCUUCAGAUUCCCGGACAUGGCACCUUCCUCCACACAGCACCUCUUCAUUCAAAUCUCUUUGCAAAGAUGUCAGAGGGUCGGCCUUGAGGGGCCAUCUUCCGGCCGGACUCUCAGCUAGCUUCUCUCUGACUUCCCACCUAUGAGUUUGGCAGUUCCCAGAUGUGCCAUGGGUUCUAUCCAGGAUGCACGCAAUUUCCCAAUGGGACCAAAUCAUGUUUUCAAAGGAUACUUAGAAAAUGGCAGGAACACAUGGAGAGAGUAGGGAGCUCUGUCUUGCCAGCCUCUGCCACCCCAAGUUGGUGCUUCCUCCUGCACGAGGAGACAGAGAGAAACUUGAAGUUCCUGUGGGGAGUUGGACCACAAUGCAGGGGGAACACUUUCCUCACCGAUAUUUCAAGACUAUUUCACAAUCGCCAAACCACCAGCCACAUGCAAUCACUGGCUGAAAAGCAAAAAGUGCACGUUUGGAGUGAGUGUGUGUGUGUGUGUGUGUGUGUGUGUGUGUGUGUGUUUGUGUUGGGGGGAGAGGGAGAGAGAGAGAGAGAAUUAAAACACAAAUAAUAAAGUCUGAAGGAAACUCGGACAGCCAGCAGAAUUCCUUGUAAUGGUGUGGGUUUGGGCCAAAAGAACAUGUUUGGGACAGAGAGAAGAUAGGCUUAUUCGAGUCAAGAGUCAUUAGAUACAGAAAAAAAAAAAAAUCUCUCGAGACAAUCACAAAAUGUGGCAUACAGACACAGAAUUGUGUUUCCUAAACUCAAAUAAGUAAAUAAAUGUUAAAUUAAAAAAAAAACUGGAUACAGUAUUAUUUUUACCUUCUGUAUUUAAUAUUUUUGGGGGUGCCAUGAUGUCACAAGUUGAAAGAUCAAAAAGGAAGAUUUC